rnacentral:piRNA from 1 species
UGUAUAGUUGUCUGAGAACGC